AUGAGGUUUGACUGACAGUUUGAGGAGCCAAUGAUGUUACGAGGUUUAUUGGCGGUGGCGUCACUUUUACCGGUCCAGGAUCAGUGAUCAUUAGCAGUUAUAUUUCCGAUUUGAGCGUGAGUUUCAGAACUGCUUUCGACAAUGUAUCGUUAGAGACUACUUGUCUUUUGUUGAUCAAAAAAGAGCUUAGCUACUGUAAAGCUGUUUUUACGCUACCACUACGCUACUGAGAAAUGUUUUUAAACUAUAGCGUCACUCGGCUAUACUUGUAGCUACUGCCCAUCACUGACAAAGUAUACCACAAGAACAACAUACAGUAUGUUCAGUAUCUUAAGGAAAGAAAUUACAGAAAUGACAGGUAGGAAAAGAUCAGUCUCAGAAACAUCCAGCUCUGUGUCUGUGGAGAGUGAUCAUUCAAUAGGUGGUGUACCAGACUUAAGUAUGGAAACAACAUCCCCUGCAAAAAGUAUGAAAAGAUCAAUCUCAGAAACAUUCAGCUCUGUGUCUGUGAAGAGUGAUCAUUCAAUAGGUGGUGUACCAGACUUAAGUAUGGAAACAACAUCCUCUGCAGAAAGAGAAAGAUCAGGCUCACAUGUAUCCAGCUUUGUGUCCAUGAAGAGUGACCAUUCAAAAGAUGGUGGAACACCA